rnacentral:rRNA from 1 species
UACGUAGGGUGCGAGCGUUAAUCGGAAUUACUGGGCGUAAAGCGUGCGUAGGCGGUUCGCUGUGUCCGAUGUGAAAGCCCCGGGCUUAACCUGGGAAUGGCAUUGGAAACUGGCGGGCUUGAGUGUGGCAGAGGGGGGUGGAAUUCCGCGUGUAGCAGUGAAAUGCGUAGAUAUUCGCAAGAACACCAGUGGCGAAGGCGGCUCACUGGCCCGGUACUGACGCUGAGGUGCGAAAGCGUGGGGAGCAAACAGG